UCCAGAAAAUAUGCAUAAAAUAAACUACACGCUUUACAAAGCAAAAUGCGAUAGCAGAAUCAGCGAAAUCUGCCUCUACCCUCUAUUAUGCCUUUGCCCGAAGUAUGAUGUGGACGGAUACGUCCGCACAAAGUACGACCGUUGGUACUACAAUACUACGACGAGUCGCUGCGAAAAUCGUACGGCUGUAGCAGGCGGCUGUAACGAUUUCGAGACCAGCGAACAAUGUGAGACACAUUGCUCCAACGCUACCAAACGAUCAAAUGCACUUUGGUCUCAAGAACAACAAAAGGCUAUAUUGGCUAAGAAAUUUUGAAAGCGCUAUUCCUAGGAAC